rnacentral:pre_miRNA from 14 species
UUCCCUGGGACUCAAGUCUUGGUCUUGGGUACCUUCUAGUGAAAGAUCCCACGCAGAGAGAUCCUUACUCAAGUCUUGGGAAAUCGCGGACCCCAGACACAGAGAGACUA